CUGCAUUCCAGGCAGACGCUUUAACCUCUGAGCCACCAGGGAAGCCCCUAAGAGGAUAUGACCAGUGGACAAAUAUGAGAUUUCCAGGCUAUGGAAUAAAAGGAUUUCCAUAUUUGAUAUCUUUAUCUAAUUGAGUCUUUCCCAUUUGUGAGGGGAGGCCUUGUAAAUGUAAAUACAAUAUAUAAGGACAACAUUAUAGGUAUAUCACAGAAGAGCUAUGUUCUUCACUUAGAUACCCAACAAGCUACUUUAAAACAAAGAAAAACGUGUUUUAGGGUAGAAAAUAUUCAGGUAUCAAGAUAAACUCUGUAUUUUACAAUGUAAUUUUGGGGAAAACAAACAGCUUAUAUUUCAUCCCCAGAUUCUAAUGUUUUUAAAGUAAAGAGUUGGAUUGGAUGAGUUCCAAGGUCUUUCUCAGUUCUACAAUAAUGUUUUUUUAAAAAGAUUUUCAGAGUAUAUUUAGGUUUACAAUCAAACUGGGAGGAAAGCAUGGAGAAUCCCCAUAUUCUUCCUGCUCCCAAACAUGCACAGGCUCCCCCAUACACUCUGGAAAUGGUACCUUAAAAAAAUACCAAAGAUGCACCUCCAAUGACACACCACAAUCACCUGAAGUUCUAGAAUAACUUUUAACCUCCUAAUGGUUUAGAUUAUCAUAUGACAUAGCAUUUAAUUUCCUAUUACAUUUUAAUUCAUCUACGCUCCCAUAAACACAUUUAAAGUUUACUGAAUGAACAACACAUACUUGUUUUCCAAAUGUGUUAACAAUGGUCUAUUUCCUGGAAUAUUUUAAGGAAGUUCUCAUACAAGGGCUACCUACGGAGGAGACCAUUUGAGAUACUGUGACAACCAGCUAGCUCAUCUGUUUCCAUCAGGUUGGUUUUCCGUUAGGGAGCCACUCCUGUCAGGAUUCUGAAAGAACACUGGAUGGAUGGAGCAAUCCUGGGGAUUAUUCCUCAUGCAAAGAAAGGCCCACAGGAAAAACAAAAUGUUUAAUUCACAUUGCUACGGCCCACAUCUGUCUUCCAUCUGACCUUUCUGAAGUGCUUUCCUACACUAUCACCUCAGCAAGUCUCCCUGAACCUCAAAUCACUUCACUAAAAGCACAAAUAAAAUUAAACUCUACUGUUCAGUGAUGGGAAAUGAAGGAACUAAGAGGUCCCUGUACUGAUCCCUCCAGGAAGGUCAGGACAGACCUGUGCACACAAGACGCUGCACUUCCAGCUCUCUGCACCAGUUUCCCAUUAUUCCCAUCAAUUAAUGACUUUCAUGUUAAUUGAACACAAGAUUUCUUGUCACUUCACAAGAUCCCAUAUGUCCUCUUCCCACUGCCCAGUACUUCUUCUACCGACUUAAGCUCAGCUCUACUCUCUCAGCCUUACAUCUCUAUAAACAUGGCCCCCAGCAGGAAGAGCUAACGCUCCUAUGGAGCCAAUGUGCCAGGCACCACGAUAUGCAACUGUCUUUUCACUGGUUAUCUCUUUUAAUCCUCACCGACCAGCCCUAUGAAGUAAAUAUAUUACUGCUUCACAGAUGAGGAAAUUGAC
rnacentral:lncRNA from 1 species